rnacentral:rRNA from 1 species
GAGUUUGAUCUUGGCUCAGAUUGAACGCUGGCGGCAUGCCUUACACAUGCAAGUCGAACGGCAGCAUGAUCUAGCUUGCUAGAUUGAUGGCGAGUGGCGAACGGGUGAGUAAUACAUCGGAACGUGCCCUGUAGUGGGGGAUAACUAGUCGAAAGAUUAGCUAAUACCGCAUACGACCUGAGGGUGAAAGUGGGGGACCGCAAGGCCUCAUGCUAUAGGAGCGGCCGAUGUCUGAUUAGCUAGUUGGUGGGUAAAGGCCCGACCAAGGCGACGAUCAGUAGCCGGUCUGAGAGGACGAUCAGCCACACUGGGACUGAGACACGGCCCAGACUCCUACGGGAGGCAGCAGUGGGGAAUUUUGGACAAU